rnacentral:rRNA from 1 species
UAGUAUCAGCGUGUCAGCAGCCGCGGUAAUACGUAGGGUGCGAGCGUUAAUCGGAAUUACUGGGCGUAAAGCGUGCGCAGGCGGUUUGGCAAGUCAGAUGUGAAAUCCCCGAGCUCAACUUGGGAACUGCGUUUGAAACUGCCAGACUAGAAUAUGUCAGAGGGGGUAGAAUUCCACGUGUAGCAGUGAAAUGCGUAGAGAUGUGGAGGAAUACCAAUGGCGAAGGCAGCCCCCUGGGAUAAUAUUGACGCUCAUGCACGAAAGCGUGGGGAGCAAACAGGAUUAGAUACCCUGGUAGUCCACGCCCUAAACGAUGUCUACUAGUUGUUGGUGGAGUAAAAUCCAUGAGUAACGCAGCUAACGCGU